AUAGCUUAAAUAAAGCAUCAAAUUUUUAAUUUGAAUAUUGAAUUUUAUUCU
rnacentral:tRNA from 1 species